AUUUUGCUUCUGCUGUGUGCCACCUCAGCUAUAAGUCUGAUUGUUAUAGCAAUCCUCAUUUACGUCAACAAGAAAAAUAAGUGUGACUAUUGCAGUAAUGAAGCUGAUGUUUCCCUGCAAGAAUAUUUUGCAAAAAGGAAUUUAAAGAGAGAUGAAGAAACAUGGAUUUAUUCCGCCGCUCUCUUUACCACGAUGCAAACUGGCACUGGUGGAAGAAGCGAUGCAAAAGCAGUGGAGAGGGAGAGGAUCUACGCUGCUGUCAAGGCUUUUGGGUUGAAUUAGCAAGUUAACUGGACUGUUUUAGAUGAGUUACUACCAUACUAGAGGCCUAUGUGAUAGUUGAUGCUAUUCUGUGUAAAGCUAAGA